AUUGAACGCUGGCGGAAUGCUUUACACAUGCAAGUCGAACGGCAGCACGGGGGCAACCCUGGUGGCGAGUGGCGAACGGGUGAGUAAUACAUCGGAACGUGCCCAGUCGUGGGGAUAACGUAGCGAAAGUUACGCUAAUACCGCAUACGAUCUAUGGAUGAAAGCGGGGGACCGUAAGGCCUCGCGCGAUUGGAGCGGCCGAUGUCAGAUUAGGUAGUUGGUGGGGUAAAGGCCCACCAAGCCGACGAUCAGUAGCUGUUCUGAGAGGACGACCAGCCAACCUGGGACUGAGACACGGACCAGACUCCUACGGGAGGCAGCAGUGGGUAAUUUUGGACAAUGGGCGCAAGCCUGAUCCAGCCAUUCCGCGUGCAGGAUGAAGGCCCUCGGGUUGUAAACUGCUUUUGUACGGAACGAAACGGUCUGCUCUCAUACAGCGGGCUAAUGACGGUACCGUAAGAAUAAGCACCGGCUAACUACGUGCCAGCCGCCGCGGUAACAC
rnacentral:rRNA from 1 species